AAUCAACGCUGGCGGCGUGCCUCAGACAUGCAAGUCGAACGCGAAAGUCCCCUUCGGGGGACAAGUAGAGUGGCGCACGGGUGAGUAACACGUAGGUAAUCUACCUUCGGAUGGGGAAUAACAACCGGAAACGGUUGCUAAUACCGCAUAAUGCAGCGGCACCUAAUGGUGACAGUUGUUAAAGCGGGGGAUCGAAAGACCUCGCGUCUGAAGAGGAGCCUGCGGCGAUUAGCUAGUUGGUAAGGUAACGGCUUACCAAGGCGACGAUCCGUAGCCGGCCUGAGAGGGCGGUCGGCCACACUGACACUGACAUACGGGUCAGACUCC
rnacentral:rRNA from 1 species